CCAGGUGACCAUAGCGAUGGGGUCACACCCGUUCCCAUUCCGAACACGGCCGUUAAGCCCAUCUGCGCCGAUGAUACUCGAAAGGGGAAAGUAGGUCGUUGCCUGGA
rnacentral:rRNA from 1 species